rnacentral:sRNA from 1 species
AGACUGCCCCGAGUUUCUGUCGCAGGCUGCGAGGAAAGGCUCCUAGGCUGGGUCCGGGUGCUUGGCGGCGGCGGCUUCCUCCCCGCUCGUCCUUCCCGGGCCCAGAGGCACCUCGGCUCCAGUCAUGCUGAGCAGAGUAUGGAAGCACCUGACUACGAAGUGCUAUCCGUGCGAGAACAGCUAUUCCACGAGAGGAUCCGCGAGUGUAUUAUAUCAACACUUCUGUUUGCAACACUGUACAUCCUCUGCCACAUCUUCCUGACCCGCUUCAAGAAGCCUGCUGAGUUCACCACAGUGGAUGAUGAAGAUGCCACCGUCAACAAGAUUGCGCUCGAGCUGUGCACCUUUACCCUGGCAAUUGCCCUGGGUGCUGUCCUGCUCCUGCCCUUCUCCAUCAUCAGCAAUGAGGUGCUGCUCUCCCUGCCUCGGAACUACUACAUCCAGUGGCUCAACGGCUCCCUCAUCCAUGGGUGUCCUGGGCCGGGUCUAUGAGACAGUGGUGAUGUUGAUGCUCCUCACUCUGCUGGUGCUAGGUAUGGUGUGGGUGGCAUCAGCCAUUGUGGACAAGAACAAGGCCAACAG